ACGGAGGAGGUGGUGCUCGGGCAGGAAAACGGAAAUAAUAGUCUCUGAUAAGGAAAGCUGGACUAUAAACAGGUUGCUUUAAAAAAAAAAAAAAAGAGAAAGAGCAGUGGAGCUGUAUUUCCUAGGCUAGACAGCCCGCCAGGCGGUAGCAAGUGACAAUCGCAAGCGGUGUGAGGGGUGUGGUGAGGGCGAGGGGAGAAGUGGCGAUUCCACCCUGCUCGUGGGUGGCCGCGGGCUGCGCUGGGGGGGCAGAAACCCACCGCUUUACUCGCCCUCCCGUCUGUGACGGGUCCCCCGCUGAGGAGAGGAGCCCGGGCCCCGGCGGAGGGGGAGCAGCUGGACCCGGGGGAGCCUGGGGGUUUUGGAGGACCCGAGGUAAACACCGCUCCCUCUCCCGCCUCGUGCGUGGCUGCUCCGAACGCGGCUUUUCCCGCUGCUUUGGCCACAGCGUCUCCCCACGCAGACCCGGGGGGGCCUCGCCCGGAGGAUUUUGUCUUCUGGCAGCUGUGACGGGGUCAGGUGGAUUCUGGAGCUGAGCCCCCUCCCAGGCGUCCUCGUGGGCAGAGGUCAUUCUGCACGGCAGGG
rnacentral:lncRNA from 1 species